ACGGAAGGCAGCAGCUAAGAAUAUUCCGCAAUGGGGGAAACCCUGACGGAGCGACGCCGCGUGGACGAUGAAGGCCGGAAGGUUGUAAAGUCCUUUUAUGGCAGAGGAAUAAGCGGGGGAGUGGAAAGCCCCUGUGAUGACUGUAGGCCAUGAAUAAGCACCGGCUAAUUACGUGCCAGCAGCCGCGGUAACACGUAAGGUGCGAGCGUUGUUCGGAAUCAUUGGGCGGAAAGGGCAUGUAGGCGGUCUGUAAAGCCAGGCGUGAAAGCCGGGGGCCCAACCCCCGACCUGGGCGUGGAACUGGCGGACUGGAGUCGCUGAGGGGGAACCGGAAUUCCUGGGGUAGGGGUGAAAUCUGUAGAUAUCAGGAAGAACACCGAUGGCGAAGGCAGGUUUCCAGCAGACGACUGAGGCUGAGGUGCGAAGGUGCGGGGAGCAAACAGGAUUAGAUACCCUGUA
rnacentral:rRNA from 1 species